GUUGGGCUUCCUCCAUCUAACCGAUUCGCUACGAUUUUAGUCAUGGUGGAUCGUGGGAAGGUUUGGCACCUCGAUGUCAGCUCUUCGCCACUUGGGGCUGUAGUAUGUUCCAAGGGUUGGGCUGUUCGCCCAUUAAAACGGUACGUGAGCUGAGUUCAAAACGUCGUGAGACAGUUC
rnacentral:ncRNA from 1 species